UCCCCGUAUCCAACAGAGUUAGAUAAGUCCAUACGUACCCUUCUCAUCUCCGUGCGUUUGUAACUCUGUCUGAUGCCCCCACCGCUAGCCUAGCUCAGCACAGGUCCUGGAGGUGGCCUGCUCCAUCUAGCCUACUGCCCCCAGUAAGUGACAAAAUAACGCCAACAUGUUCCAAUUUACACGUUGUGAUUUGUGUAUUCACAGCGUGUCCAAAUCACAAAGUCACAUGAUACACAGCCAUCUUCUAACCGUA